UGUUAAUUCACUGGAGAAGACCUCAGUGAGCAUGUGCUGUGCUCCCAAAGACAGAGGUGCAGCAAGGUGAUGAGAGAGGUUCCCAGGCUUCCAGAAGAUCACAGACUAGUGAACUCAAAACUGAAAACACUGGAAAACACUGCCUUGUAAUUGCAAAGUGCUUUUCCUGGAGAUGUCAAAGAAUAUCGGAGACCAGCACAACCCUACGCAUGGGGAGGAGAAACUUCCAUCCACCCAGUGAACGCAUUUCCUGAAGGUUCUUGGUUGUUGAGCCAGGAACAGUGCAAGCCGCUUCCUUACUUUGAGCAGAGCGUUCAUGGGUUCACAGACCAACAUGCUUCCCCAGUUCCCAGGUCUCUGAUCUUGCGGCCUCUUGGACCCUCCGAACCACGGCUCACAGCUCAGUCAGCUGCCAAGGCCUUCACCACUCUCGUCAUGCUUGACCUCCUUUUCGCUUCUACCACCACCAACUACAGUCUCUGAUCUCCUCUCCCCUGGACAAGCAAUCAGCCCCCGUUGGCCUCUCCACCUCCCAAAGCUUCCCCACUCCUGGGGCUCCCUGGCCACCCAGCCUCUGAGUUUCGCCGUCUGGCAUUGCCUACCCUCCAGCCUCCCUGCGUAGACUCUGAGCUCACUCACCUGAACUCAACCGCUUCUCAGGCACUGGGGCACUCCCCUGGGGCUCUCACUCUGCCAUCUGCUGUCACCUCCACUAGGGGGCUGCUCCACCCCAAAGCCUUCUGCAACAACGAGGCUCCAGCCUCCUUCAGGAUUCUGCUCCAGUACCCCCUCCUCCCUGAGUGUGUGUCUGAACCUCACAGCUGCAAUCUUGGUUAAGCCUUGGUUAAGCAAGGGACAGGAAUGCCAGCAGGAGCUCUUGCAUAGUGGUCCCUGGGACAGAGGGAGGAGACCAGGAGCUGAAACACACUGGCUCGUUAGCUCAGAUGCCACAGGUACAUUCAAUCAAGGGACUCACUUGGCCGAGAGACCCAGUUCUGCAGUGGUCUUUCUAAGAGAAAGGAGGAGCCUGCCUGCUGACAACAUUCUAAAUGAGCCAGACAGUGACGAUGAUGGGUGCUUCCCAGGUUCCAGGCCUGGUCCAGAGCCAUACGAGUCCUCACGAUGAUACAACAUCCUGAGGGGGACGGGACUAGUGCUGGCCUCAUUGUACAGAGGGUCAAACUGAGUCACAGGGAUUCUAGGUAACCUGUGCAGGCCACAUGGCUGGCACACGAUGGAGACCCAGCAGUCAGAUGCCAGAGUCCCGCUCACGACCAUCACGCUCGUGUUGAGUGGAGUGAAAUGCACUGGAAUUAGGAUUCCUGGGCCCUGCCUCUGUGCCCUGUCUUUGGAGGAAUCACUCACACCAUUGCCCUGGCCAGACUUGGGACCCUCUCCAUCCCCUCACCCUCCAAGCCCACCCACCAAAGGCUACCAUGUCUCCUUCUUGAAUUUCCCACACUCCCUGAACUCCCCUCCACACAGGCCCCUCUCCCCUGCGCUAUCCCAACAGCGUCCUCACUGGCCUGGAGUCCAGUCCUGCCCCUCCAGCCUGUGCCCCACACUGCAGCCUGCGGAUUCUUCUAAAUACAAGCUGGGUCCCAUCCCACCUUCCCCUCCAUCCCUUCCCGGUGCCCCUGGGAUGACAGCAGGACCUUCCUGACCACUCUGCCCCAUCGGCAGCCUCCUCUCCCACCACCCGCUGUCCGCUACCUAGGCUCUGUGCCCAGCCAGGCUCAAUUGCUCUCAUUGCCUUGCUUUUGGGCUCACACUCCAGCCGACACACUCUCCUGGCUCCGCUCCUUCCUUGGUAGGUGGCUCUUCCCACCCCUUGGAUCUCAGGUUGGCUCUCACUCCCUCUGGGAACAUUCCCUCAGCCCCAAAAGUUGGCUGCAGUGUCUCUGCUGGUCCCCCCACAGUGCUGGGUACUUCCGGCCACAGCACACAUCAGCUGGUAUGGCUUACAUGGCCAUGUGUCCCCCACCUGACGCUGAGCUCCCAAGGGCAGGACCUGCAGGCCAGGCCUGGAGGCAGCUUGUGCUCUGCUGGCCUCCUGGGUGAGGGCCCAGUCUAUGCAAGGGACUCCUCGGCACUCUCUCCUGCUGGCUUUACUGAUGCAGCUCCAUGAGCAGACCGUGCCUGUGCCACACAGGAGCUGUGCUCAGAGCCGCGGCACGCACAGAUGGCAGGGACCCUCCCUGAGCUCGACGAUCAGGGAGCUGAGCCCAGAGACAGCAAACUCAGUGAGCAUCAGGGAUGUGAUAAAUGUCCCAGGAGCCCACAGGCCACCCUUCUUGGUGUCUGCAGAGGGGUCUGAUCUUGCCACUGCCCUCCAAGAGCUCCAUGAAGGCCGUGCUCUGAGACCAAGAAGAUGCGGCACGCCACAGCCUGCCCAGCAGUCUUCCUGGAGAGAAGAGUUGGCUCCACUUAAUGGCCUGGCCCCAAGCGCUCUCACAGACACCCGCCAGGCCAGGGCUCUGGUGUCCAUGUGAACAUCUGCCGCCCCCGUAAAGCUGCAGCAGUUGCCUGUCACCAAGACGUCACUCCGUAAAUCUGCACGACAACUCGGUCUUGAGGCAAGAUGACUCCAUGGCAAGGCGUCUUGUUCCCAAACUAUGGUUUAUAAGCAGAUUGAUUGGAGACGCAUGGAGUUAACUUCUGCCCGACAGCGAAGUGCAUGCCUGCAAUAACCAACCCUAAACAUCUGUUGAAAACAAAAGAAAAUAUUUCCACAUUCUCUUCCACGGUUAUAGACCGCAUCUUCCUAGACUGUGGGGGAGAUGGGGAAGGAGCACGUAUACCCAUAAUGCAUUCCCUUGUUCCAUUGCAUUUUGAUUUAUUUGCUGGUUGCAUUUCAAAUUUUACAAACACUUAUUUAUUCCCAUGUGUGCUGGGAUUCUCUAAGAGAGACAGAACCAAUAGGAUAUGCAGAUAUCCAGGAGGAGAUUUAUUAUGGGAAUUGGUGUUAUGUGAUUAUGGAGGCUGGGAAGCUCUGCAAGCUGGAGAGCCACAAAAGCUGGUGGUGUAAUUCAGUCCAAAGGUCUGAGACACUGGGGGCCACUGGCGUAAGUCCUGG
ensembl:lncRNA